GGGGGAACCGCCUGAACUGAAACAUCUAAGUAGGGCGAGGAAGAGACAUCAAACGAGAUUCCGUAAGUAGUGGCGAGCGAACGCGGAAGAGGGCAAACCGAAGGUAGAAAUACCUUCGGGGUACGGAGCGCAUUUAAGACUUAAGUUGUUAACCGAACGGCAUGGGAAGGCCGGUCAGAGAGUGUGAGAACCACGUAGGUGAAAACGACAAGAGCUGAGCGAUUUCCAGAGUACGGCCAGACACGUGAAACCUGGUCGGAAGAUGGGGGGACCACCCUCCAACCCUAAAUACUACCCAGUGACCGAUAGCGUAUAGUACUGUGAAGGAAAGGUGAAAAGCACCCCGGGAG
rnacentral:rRNA from 1 species